rnacentral:rRNA from 1 species
CUCGCAGCUUUCGACAAGUUCUAUGCCAUGAAUGGUCGCGGCCUGCAGAAGCUCAAUGAGGCCCUUCUUAUGCUGCUGCCCAAGUGUGCAGAUGCGCACUCCCUCUUUGCCUAUAGACCCAUCAGUCUCAUUCACAUCUUCGCCAAGCUGGUCGCGAAGCUUCUCUCCCUCUGUCUCGCUCCUUGGCUGAACACCAUGGUCUCUACCAACCAGAGCGCGUUCAUUGCGGGGCGAUGCAUCCACGACAACUACCUCCUCGUGCAGCAGACGGCUCGUCUCUUGCACAACCUGAAGGCGCCGCGCAUGCUUCUCAAGUUGGACAUUGCUCGUGCGUUCGACAACGUUUCUUGGCCCUUCCUUCUGCAACUCCUGUGA